UAAACGACACGCUAACUAGAUGGUCUAUGGUAUUUAAUAUCAUUUUUAGAUUACGUCAUUUCGCCAGAAUUUGACUUGGCAACGGUCCACGGAUUCUUUGGGCACGGUCGUUAUAAUGUUAUUUUUUGACAAAAAAAAAAACAAUAUUUACCCAUAUAGUGCUUGAAACAUUUCCGGAAUAUGUGAUUUCCGGUGAUCCUAUGGACGCUGCUAUAUGAAAGCAUAAUUUUUAUUUUUACUUUGUUAUUGCAGUUAUAUUGGCACUGAAUUGAAUACCGAAAGUAUCAAAAAAAACAAAAAAACUUGAAAACGUGUACAUAGUCUCUUUUUGUCGACCGAUAUAUUUGAAAACGUCGCUAUAAAGAAUCGUUGAACGAUAGCGUACAUUUUGUGUCUUUUGUAUUUAU